rnacentral:rRNA from 1 species
UACAGAAGUCUCGAGCGUUAGGCGGAAUCACUGGGCUUAAAGCGUGUGUAGGCGGGUCGUUAAGUACCUUGUGAAAUCCCAUGGCUCAACCAUGGAACUGCUUGGUAUACUGGCGAUCUUGUGCAACCUAGGGGCGAGCGGAACAGAUGGUGGAGCGGUGAAAUGCGUAGAUAUCAUCUGGAACGCCAAUGGUGAAAACAGCUCGCUGGGGGUUUGCAGACGCUGAGACACGAAAGCCAGGGGAGCGAACGGG